rnacentral:rRNA from 1 species
GAUGAACGCUGGCGGCGUGCCUAACACAUGCAAGUCGAGCGAUUUACUUCGGUAAAGAGCGGCGGACGGGUGAGUAACGCGUGGGUAACCUGCCCUGUACACACGGAUAACAUACCGAAAGGUAUGCUAAUACGAGAUAAUAUACUUUUAUCUCAUGGUAGAAGUAUCAAAGCUCUGGCGGUACAGGAUGGACCCGCGUCUGAUUAGCUAGUUGGUAAGGUAACGGCUUACCAAGGCGACGAUCAGUAGCCGACCUGAGAGGGUGAUCGGCCACAUUGGAACUGAGACACGGUCCAAACUCCUACGGGAGGCAGCAGUGGGGAAUAUUGCACAAUGGGCGAAAGCCUGAUGCAGCAACGCCGCGUGAGCGAUGAAGGCCUUCGGGUCGUAAAGACUCUGUCCUCAAGGAAGAUAAUGACGGUACUUGAGGAGGAAGCCCGGCGUAACUACGUAGCC